GACGAACGCGGGCGGCGUGCUUAACACAUGCAAGUCGAACGGAAAGGCCCUGCUUUUGUGGGGUGCUCGAAUGGCGAACGGGUGAGUAACACGUGAGUAACCUGCCCUUGACUUUGGGAUAACUUCACGAAACUGGGGCGAAUACCGGAUAGGAGCUCCUGCUGCGUGGGGGGGGGUGGAAAGUUUCGGCGGUUGGGGAUGGACUCGCGGCUUAUCAGCUUGUUGGUGGGGUAGUGGCUUACCAAGGCUUUGACGGGUAGCCGGCCUGAGAGGGUGACCGGCCACAUUGGGACUGAGGUACGGCCCAGACUCCUACGGGAGGCAGCAGUGGGGAAUAUUGAACAAUGGGCGGAAGCCUGAUGCAGCAACGCCGCGUGCGGGAUGACGGCCUUCGGGUUGUAACCCGCUUUCGCCUGUGACGAAGCGUGAGUGACGGUAAUGGGUAAAGAAGCACCGGCUAACUACGUG
rnacentral:rRNA from 1 species